AGCUUUGUAUCAUGCAUAGCUGCAGCCAUCUCACAUCCUGCUUAUGGUGUUGAUAUGACGCCCGAAGUCAUACACCAGCUGCGGUUGACUGUGUCAAGUGAUCACUGUGGCCACUGGCUACAAUGUCGACCGGUUGAAACCGGGUUCUGUUCCCACAGUCUUUCCACCAUGGACGGGAAAGCUCCAACCAUUCAAGUCCUCCCGGUUUCGACCCUUGCCUGUUCUGGACUCUGUACCUGCCUGCCUGACCAUUCUGCCUGCCUUGACCACGAGCCUUUCUGCUACUCUGUACCUUAUGAACUCUGAUCUGUUUUUGACCUUUUGCCUGUCCACGACUAUUCUCUUGGCUACUCCUUUUAGAUUAUUAAACAUUGUAAGACUCCAA